rnacentral:misc_RNA from 1 species
AAAGUCGUAACAAGGUCGCUGUAGGUGAACCUGCAGCGGGAUCAUUACCGGGAGCGUGGCCGGGGGAGGGCGCGGAUCGGGUUGGUUCCCUUUCCCCCUCCUUCGCGCCGCGGGGGCCUCGCGCCCCGCGCUCUUCGCCCUUGUCGACCCUUCCACACCACUCGCGCACCCGCACCAGGCCGUCUGAGCAGUGAAACGAGCAAUCGUGACAAAACUUUCAACAACGGAUCUCUUGGUUCUG